rnacentral:lncRNA from 1 species
UUUUUUUUUUUUCUCAUACUAUCUUCCAUCAUGUUCUGUCCCAGGAGACUGGAUAGAGUUCCCUGUGCUGUACAGUAGGACUCCACUGCUUAUCCAUUCCCAAUGCCAUAGUCUGUGUAUCUACCAACCCCAACGUCCCAUGGGUUCUUACCACACAUCUGCACACAUGGCUUCAGCCUUUCCAGGUGCAGACACUGCCAGGAAGUGGGGCUGCGCCACGACUCGGGUGAGUUACGCCUGUCCCUUAGCAUCUUCCCAGGGCCCCUCCUCACAAGCAGGUAUAGCAGAGGCCCAGGACACAGCCGUAGGUGUUCCUCUCCUGCAGCUAUUCCCAGUCCCUCCCCUACCUGCACCCAGACAGCACACUCUCCGCAUUUCUGUGGGGGCACAACCUGCGUCCUUUAUCCCAGCUGCAGAUCAAAACCUAAUCGCCCACUCUGGUUUGAGGUGACCCCACCCCACUGCAGUGGUGCACCAGACACUCCGACGACUGCAUCCGUGUUGAAUCGGGUUCUCUGCUUUGUACAGACUCAUGCUGCUGGGCCACCCACCACACUGAGAAUCAUCUAAGCAGCCAAGGCUGGAUUGUGCGGCUCUCUGAAGCUGUGUUUUGAGCUGUUUCCCAACCCAACCAUGAUGCAAAAGACAAGGCCUUAGAAGGGGAAUGUCACUAGACUGGUUGUGUGUCAGGGGCCCGAGUGAACUAAACGCUACUCUUUGGAGGCCCCUGUCCAUAGCUGCCAAAGUAGGAUGCUCAGUUAACACAGAGAGACAUGGAGUAUUUACCAGUGCAUCCAAUGGUGACCCUAAGGACGAGGUUAUUUCACUGCAUUUCUGAAUACUGUAUUUCAGGGGAAAACAGAGAAUACUCCUACCUUUUAACAAAAAUGUAUGUUUCCACAAAGAAGCUACUUUCCAAAAAUAUCAUUCUGAGCUAAAGUCUGGCCAUACACUAGUACCUUUAUGAAGAACACAUGAUUCUCAAGGGUUUCUGCCUUAGGAGACUGAGACAGGGUUGGCCCCUAGGUGAGCUCACAAAGAGAAAAGGAAGAGUGUGGAGGCGGGGGAGCUAACAUGCAGUUUGGGACAUGUGAGCUUAGGAAGAAGUCCAUUCAACCCAUAAAUUACUUUUACGUCUCUAAGAUGUCCAUCCCGUCCUUCCAGGGAGAGAGAGUAGAAUGAAGUCAUGACAAAUCACCCCAACACUAAUGACAUAUGUUGAGACAAGGGACACUGACCACCUCCCAAAUUUAUCAAGCACCACACCACAAAUUUUCAAAAAGUACUGGACAAGGGAAAAAAAAUAGUCCCUUCAGAAAAGGACUGGGAAGUUCCCAUCGUGGCUCAGCAGUAACAAGCCCAAAGAGUAUCCAUGAGGAUGCGGGUUUUGACCUUGCUCAGCGACUUAAGGAUCCAGCGUUGCCAUGAGCUAUGGUGCAUGUCGCAGACGCAGCUUGGAUCUGGUGUGGCUGCGGCUGUGGCGUAGGCUGGCAGGAGUACCUCUGAUUUGACCUGGGAGCCUCCAUGCACUGCGGGUGCAGCCCUAAAAAGACAAAAAAAAAAAAAAAAAA